AACGAACGCUGGCGGCAGGCUUAACACAUGCAAGUCGAACGCGUGUAGCAAUACACGAGUGGCGCACGGGUGAGUAACACGUGGAUAUCUGCCUUUUGGUUCGGAAUAACUCCGGGAAACUGGAGCUAAUACCGGAUGGUUCCUACGGGAUAAAGAUUUAUCGCCAAAAGAUGAGUCCGCGCACGAUUAGCUAGUUGGUGAGGUAACGGCUCACCAAGGCGACGAUCGUUAGCUGGUCUGAGAGGACGAUCAGCCACACUGGGACUGAGACACAGCCCAGACUACUACGGGAGGCAGCAGUGGGGAAUAUUGGACAAUGGGGGCAACCCUGAUCCAGCCAUGCCGCGUGAGGGAUGAAGGCCUUCGGGUUGUAAAGCUCUUUUGGCGGGGACGAUGAUGACGGUACCCGCAGAAUAAGCCCCGGCUAACUUCGUGCCAGCCGCCGCGGUAA
rnacentral:rRNA from 1 species